UAUUUAAAAAAAAAUCAUCAUGAUUUAUUAUAUUAACUGCUAUAAAAACAAACCAAAAAAAAAAAAAAAAAGACAAUAUGGAAGCCUUCCUGGGACAAGUUCGGCAGUGUGCAUCAAUGCUACUUCCCAUGGUGUUAAGUUGGGAACAUUUGGCACGAAGCAUUAUUAUUAUUAUUAGUAUUAUUUUUAUACAGCCGCUUGCUGAGGAUCGCAAAACUGAUCCUGAAAACCCCAGACAGCAGAAAGAGGAACACACACCUUCCUGGAAAGAAAAGUCACCAUCAAUCAGGCCAAAACGCCAACUGUGUCCAGCAUUCCUCCCAACUCUCAUUCCCAAGCGGAGGACGUGUUGGGAACUGAUUAUCCAGGCUCCGUUUGGUUUUCCAAAAAUCGACGUUCUGCUCCUGGGUUUUGGAUCCGGGUCAAAUUCGGCCCUACAAACGACAACGUCUGACAGAAUAUUCCUACAGAGUUGUGGUCGGAGUAAAACGUCUUGUCUCAGAAGAACAAAAAAAGUUCUUAAUCUAACAGACAACAGGUAAAUAAAGUAAUCAUCUCCUCAUUUUGGAGUGUUACAGCUCUGACUGAGAGUGCAUCGUUCUGAGCUGUAACCUGAUUAUUGCUCUUAAAUAUUUGAUUAAAAUUCACUUUAAAAACAUCUUUUUAUACAUGAACAGUUUCCUCUUAGUUCAGGAAGAGGCUGGUUGCCUCCUGGUGGGUCUGGACUGAAACUCUGUCACUUUAUGUUGUUGCUGGAGCUGUGAGAGUGUGUUCACACACACCACUCAACAUGAUGUGCCAAUCCCCACAAGUUCAUUCAAUUGCUAAUGAAAAAAAACAAGCAAACAAAAACAGAAACAGACUCAUCAGGUUUUGUUGCAUAAACUGAUUCAACCAACUUGCGAAUACAUUUUUGCCCCUUAUCUGCUCUUCUCUCAUAAAAUUAAGCACAAAAAGAAACAUUCAGAGAAAGGAACCACUCCACGCCAACUCAACUAGCCUUUAAAGUUUAUGCUUCCAAUUUUCUCGAGAAAACAGAAAGUAAAAAGGCUUCCAGACCUCACAGAAACCUUGCAGUUAUUCAAGUAAAAUUUGCACUGAACAGUUCAAGGUAAUGAAUUUAUUCUAUACGUUUAAUCAUUUUAUGUAAAUUUGGAAAAUACAAAAAAAAAAAUCCUUUCACAAAUUUACUAAAUAUUACUAAGACAUUUUGGGUGUGGUUUUUUUCCCCCACGACUAAGCUAACUUCUCUACUUAUUAGUUUAUUAAAAGUUGAAAUUUGCUGCCUAAUUCUGUCAUUAAGUCAAUUUCUUUAUACGUUUUACUUCCAGUGCCAAUUUGUAUUUUGACAGACUUGUAAAAUUAACAGCAAUAUGUUAUAUUUGGUUGUUUCUCCAAGUAAACACAUCCUAAUUAAUCUUAAGCUAUUACAUUAGAUAUUUAGCUAUAAUUAAGCAUAAUUUGCUUUCCUUACAAAUUAUUGUUAGGGUUUAUGGAUGUUCAGCACAACCUUACACCAAGUCCACGUCAAAAAUGAUGAAUUUAAUGCAGACAUUUCUUAGGUUUUAUACUACAUGAAUAAUCUUUUGAAAUUAUGCCAAAUUUUAUGAUUCUACUUUUAAAAUUUUUAUCUGAAAGAAAAUCUGCAACAUAAAUAUCAAUGACACGGCUAGCUUGGUAUAGAGCAAACCAUGAGAAGAAGCUAAACAUAUGAAAUAAUUUAAGGAAAUAUUAGAGGUUACAUUUUCCAAAUGUUUUCUGGCUAGCAUUUCAGCUAACAACCAUCAGUGAAGAAUUUAACAAAACUGAAUAUAUGUAUGCGAUUUUGGACAGAUGUAUAUUUUGUAUAUAUUGUAUAUAACAGGAUAUUUUGGACAGGACAUAACAUAGCCUUACACAUCCUAGCUUGGAGUAGGAUACAGCCUAGCUUGAAGCAGGUUAUAGCCUAGCUUGAAGUAGGUUAUAGCCUAGCCUGAAGCAGGUUAUAGCCCAUCUUGAAGCAGGUUAUAGCCCAUCAUGAAGCAGGUUAUAGCCUAGCUUGAAGCAGGUUAUAGCCCAGCUUGAAGCAGGUUAUAGCCUAGCUUGAAGCAGGUUAUAGCCUAGCCUGAAGCAGGUUAUAGCCUAGCUUGAAGCAGGUUAUAGCCAAUCUUGAAGCAGGUUAUAGCCUAGCCUGAAGCAGGUUAUAGCCUAGCCUGAAGCAGGUUAUAGCCUAGCCUGAAGCAGGUUAUAGCCUAGCUUGAAGCAGGUUAUAGCCUAGCUUGAAGCAGGUUAUAGCCUAGCCUGAAGCAGGUUAUAGCCUAGCCUGAAGCAGGUUAUAGCCCAUCUUGAAGCAGGUUAUAGCCAAUCUUGAAACAGGUUAUAGCCUAGCUUGAAGCAGGUUAUAGCCUAGCUUGAAGCAGGUUAUAGCCUAGCCUGAAGCAGGUUAUAGCCUAGCCUGAAGCAGGUUAUAGCCUAGCUUGAAGCAGGUUAUAGCCUAGCUUGAAGCAGGUUAUAGCCUAGCCUGAAGCAGGUUAUAGCCUAGCCUGAAGCAGGUUAUAGCCCAUCUUGAAGCAGGUUAUAGCCAAUCUUGAAACAGGUUAUAGCCUAGCUUGAAGCAGGUUAUAGCCUAGCUUGAAGCAGGUUAUAGCCUAGCUUGACGCAGGUUAUAGCCUAGCUUGAAGCAGGUUAUAGCCAAUCUUGAAACAGGUUAUAGCCUAGCCUGAAGCAGGUUAUAGCCUAGCCUGAAGCAGGUUAUAGCCUAGCUUGACGCAGGUUAUAGCCCAUCUUGAAGCAGGUUAUAGCCAAUCUUGAAACAGGUUAUAGCCUAGCUUGAAGCAGGUUAUAGCCUAGCUUGACGCAGGUUAUAGCCUAGCUUGAAGCAGGUUAUAGCCUAGCUUGAAGUGGGAAACAACCCAUCCUGAUACACAGCCUGAAGUGGUAUCUGUCCUUCAACUCUGCAGAAAAAAAACUUUUUUGUGGGGCCCAUUUGGAGAGGCCUCUGAAUUUGGAUAUUGUUGUGACAUAAUCAACCUUCAAAUGUAGCCCCUGAAUUUUGACAGACCCACAGGCAACAGCUUGAAGUAAGAUGAAGCCUAGCUUAAACAGCGAUAAAGCCUAGUUUGAGUUGAACCAUAGACCUUCUUAAAAGUUGCAUAAAAUCCAGCUCGAUGUGGGAUAGAACCUAGCAUAAUUUCAUUAGGCUAACUACUAGUUGAGGUAAAAAGUUAUAGUUUUGGAAAGCAAAACUUUCACAGUUUCAUAUGCGUUACCAAAAUGAUAAAAAUUGGGGUUCAUAUAGUGGCCAAAAGCUGUUUUAUAGUCACUUAACAAAAAUAGGUUGUCCAUAUGAUUUAUGUUAGCAAGCAAAUUUAGCCGUCUCCCUGCUUUUCGUCUUUAUGCUAAACAAAUCCAAGCUAAGCACAUUUUUAAAAAAAUAUUUAAAAAAAUUAAAACAUGUGAGACUCAUGGACACGCAAAAUUAUGAACUAUGGUUAAUGCAAAUAAUAAAAAAAAAAGCAACUGAGUUUCUUGUAUCAUAAUGAAUUAGCAUCAUGUGCUCACGCUGGCUAGCAUUUUCAGCAGCCAGUUUUUAAAAUUCGAAAGCAGCAGGCUUUUAGUGGGGGAAGGAGAAAGAUUUAUGUUGCUCAUGACAAACAUCAUACUGUUACUAAACAGUACAUGCAACCCUUUGUCGCACAGCACUCACACACUGUACAAAACACACACAAGACUCAGGCAAAAAUAACAUCUGGAUACAUUUCUGAAUACUUAUAAAAGAGGAGUGUUUUCCGCUGCCGCCAGUAGCGACUGUUCAAGUGUCGGUCCGGUAAUCUGAACUAAGCACACUCCACAAAUAUUGGCACUGUGUACAGUAUAUCUCACACACAAACACACCGACUGCAUAUCUUUUUGUAAAGCUUAAAAAUGUCUCUUUAAUGUCACUUUAAAAUCUCUCAAUUUUCAAAAGAUGACGAAGAAAAGAAAAAAAGAAAGUCCUGACAAUAAAGUUAGUUAUUUUCCUUUUUUGUUAAAAUAGGAUCACUCUGGGAUGGUAGUGCAACGCCUCUCAUUUGGAAACAUGAAGCACAUUUUUUAUUUUCAUGUUUACUCCACAAACUCCUCUAUGGCAGAAGGAAGGCUCGGGCUUCAAGAUGAAGAAAAAAAAAAAA